rnacentral:rRNA from 1 species
GUCUGCGUGGAGCCGACCUUGAAAUACCACCCUUUAAUGUUUGAUGUUCUAACGUGGACCCGUAAUCCGGGUUGCGGACAGUGUCUGGUGGGUAGUUUGACUGGGGCGGUCUCCUCCUAAAGAGUAACGGAGGAGCACGAAGGUUGGCUAAUCCUGGUCGGACAUCAGGAGGUUAGUGCAAUGGCAUAAGCCAGCUUGACUGCGAGCGUGACGGCGCGAGCAGGUGCGAAAGCAGGUCAUAGUGAUCCGGUGGUUCUGAAUGGAAGGGCCAUCGCUCAACGGAUAAAAGGUACUCCGGGGAUAACAGGCUGAUACCGCCCAAGAGUUCAUAUCGACGGCGGUGUUUGGCACCUCGAUGUCGGCUCAUCACAUCCUGGGGCUGAAGUAGGUCCCAAGGGUAUGGCUGUUCGCCAUUUAAAGUGGUACGCGAGCUGGGUUUAGAACGUCGUGAGACAGUUCGGUCCCUAUCUGCCGUGGGCGCUGGAGAACUGAGGGGGGCUGCUCCUAGUACGAGAGGACCGGAGUGGACGCAUCACUGGUGUUCGGGUUGUCAUGCCAAUGGCACUGCCCGGUAGCUAAAUGCGGAAGAGAUAAGUGCUGAAAGCAUCUAAGCACGAAACUUGCCCCGAGAUGAGUUCUCCCUGAGACUUUAGGUCUCCUGAAGGAACGUUGAAGACGACGACGUUGAUAGGCCGGGUGUGUAAGCGCAGCGAUGCGUUGAGCUAACCGGUACUAAUGAACCGUGAGGCUUAACCUUACAAC